CAGCAGCCGCCGCGGUAAUACGUAGGUGGCGAGCGUUGUCCGGAAUCAUUGGGCGUAAAGGGAGCGCAGGCGGGCAUGUAAGUCUUUCUUAAAAGUUCGGGGCUCAACCCCGUGAUGGGAAAGGAACUACAUGUCUUGAGUACAGGAGAGGAAAGCGGAAUUCCCAGUGUAGCGGUGAAAUGCGUAGAUAUUGGGAGGAACACCAGUGGCGAAGGCGGCUUUCUGGACUGCAACUGACGCUGAGGCUCGAAAGCCAGGGGAGCGAACGGGAUUAGAGACCCCAGUAGUCCCUGUCUCUUAUACA
rnacentral:rRNA from 1 species